rnacentral:piRNA from 1 species
UACUUUUCCNCUUGGCUCAGCUAAGCCUGU